UACGAAGGGGGCUAGCGUUGCUCGGAAUUACUGGGCGUACAGGGCGCGUAGGCGGACAGUUUAGUCAGAGGUGAAAGCCCAGGGCUCAACCCUGGAAUUGCCUUUGAUACUGGCUGUCUUGAGUACGGGAGAGGUGUGUGGAACUCCGAGUGUAGAGGUGAAAUUCGUAGAUAUUCGGAAGAACACCAGUGGCGAAGGCGACACACUGGCCCGUUACUGACGCUGAGGCGCGAAAGCGUGGGGAGCAAACAGG
rnacentral:rRNA from 1 species